rnacentral:rRNA from 1 species
ACGAAGGUGGCUAGCGUUGUUCGGAAUCAUUGGGCUUAAAGCGGGCGCAGGCGGAAAGGUAAGUGUCUUGUGAAAUCCCCCGGCUUAACCGGGGAAUCGCUGGGCAUACUGCCUUUCUUGAGGCAAGCAGGGGUACAUGGAACUCUUGGUGGAGCGGUAGAAUGCGUAGAUAUCAAGAAGAACGCCAGUGGAGAAGUCGGUGUACUGGGCUUGUUCUGACGCUGAGGCCCGAAAGCGUGGGUAGCAAGCAGGAUUAGAUACCCUGGUAGUCCACGCCGUAAACGAUGUCUACUAGGCUGUGGAGGUUCUGACACCUUCGCGGCCGAAGCAAAAGUGUUAAGUAGACCGCCUGGGGAGUACGGCCGCAAGGCUA